rnacentral:rRNA from 1 species
GAUGAACGCUGGCGGUAUGCUUAACACAUGCCAGUCGAACGGUCACUUCGGUGAUAGUGGCGGACGGGUGAGUAACGCGUGAGAAUCUGUCUUCAGGUCGGGGACAACAGUUAGAAAUGACUGCUAAUACCGGAUGUGCCUUUGGGUGAAAGAUUUAUUGCCUGAAAAAGAGCUCGCGUCAGAUUAGCUAGUAGGUGGUGUAAGAGACUACCUAGGCUCCGAUCUGUAGCUGGUCUGAGAGGACGAUCAGCCACACUGGAACUGAGACACGGUCCAGACUCCUACGGGAGGCAGCAGUGGGGAAUUUUCCGCAAUGGGCGAAAGCCUGACGGAGCAAUACCGCGUGAGGGACGAAGGCUUUUGGGUCGUAAACCUCUUUUCUCAAGGAAGAUGAUGACGGUACUUGAGGAAUAAGCAGCGGCUAACUCUGUG